rnacentral:rRNA from 1 species
AACCUGCCCACUGAAAAUUUUAAAUGGCCGCAGUAUUUUGACUGUGCAAAGGUAGCAUAAUCAUUAGUCUUUUAAUUGAGGGCUGGAAUGAAUGGUUGGACGAAAUAUUAACUGUUUCAUAUUAAAUUAUAAUAAAAUUUUAUAUUUUAGUAAAAAAGCUAAGAUAUUAUUAAAAGACGAGAAGACCCUAUAAAUCUUUAUAUUUACUGAGUUUAUAAAAAUUAGAAAUUAAAUUUUAUUUAUUUAUAUAAAUAUUUUAUUGGGGUGAUAUUAAAAUUUAAUUAACUUUUAUUUAUUUAUACAUUAAUUUAUGAUUUUUUGAUCUUUUAAUAUUGAUUAAUAGAAUAAGUUACUUUAGGGAUAACAGC